rnacentral:misc_RNA from 1 species
CAGAAUUGUUCGAAUCCAUACGGACACAUUCUUAAAAUCCGUAUCCACACCGGCAGGGCUUUCGGGCCUUUGCCGUAGGGUUCCUCUUUUCUCUUUCUCUGUUAGGGAAAGAGAGGGGGGUUCCUGUCUGACCUUUGCCUAUAAUUUUAAUUUUGUCUGAACUUUUAUUUUAUUAUAAAAUAAAAA